rnacentral:rRNA from 1 species
AGCGAACGCUGGCGGCAGGCCUAACACAUGCAAGUCGAACGGAUCCUUCGGGAUUAGUGGCGGACGGGUGAGUAACACGUGGGAACGUGCCCUUUGGUUCGGAACAACUCAGGGAAACUUGAGCUAAUACCGGAUGUGCCCUUCGGGGGAAAGAUUUAUCGCCAUUGGAGCGGCCCGCGUCUGAUUAGCUAGUUGGUGAGGUAAAGGCUCACCAAGGCUACGAUCAGUAGCUGGUCUGAGAGGAUGAUCAGCCGCAUUGGGACUGAGACACGGCCCAAACUCCUACGGGAGGCAGCAGUGGGGAAUCUUGCGCAAUGGGCGAAAGCCUGACGCAGCCAUGCCGCGUGAAUGAUGAAGGUCUUAGGAUUGUAAAAUUCUUUCACCGGGGACGAUAAUGACGGUACCCGGAGAAGAAGCCCCGGCUAACUUCGUGCCAGCAGCCGCGGUAAUAC